GUUAAUUGCCAUAUCAGUCUCAGAAGCUAAACAGGGUCAGGUCUGGUUAGUACUUGGAUGGGAGACCGCACUGGAGAGGCAAGCAUGGAUAUCU
ensembl:rRNA 5S_rRNA 5S ribosomal RNA